UAUCAACGCCUUGCGCUUAUUCGAGUACAAGCAGUGGAAAAUAUUGCAUCGCAAUAGUUAGACCAGAUCUUACUACAAAAUGUUGCGUGGUUUUAUUAUAAGUUUUCUUAUUAUUUCGGUCAUCAGUGUUGUGCAGGUAAACGCUGCUCCAUCAAAUGAUCGUCCUGAUUCUCCGGUUGCCGAAAUGCACGAUUUUUCCGAUGCAGUCAAACUAAUUCCUAAACUAGACCGAAUUGACAGCAUGAUGCUAGAUAUGGCGAAAAAUGUAAAGAAGAAGAUAAAGGAUGAAUUUUUCGAUUUGUUGCCCAUAUAGAUGACAUCGAUUCAACAUUGAAAACAACGGAGUUCAGAAAUUCAAUUCGGCAAUCUAUAUUAUCAAGUUACACUUAUUAUGUCAGAAGUUGGCAAAGCGUAAAUGAAAGUAAUCCUUUUGUUAUAAACGAUGCAUGGAAAAUAAAAUAUAGCUAAGAUUUUAAUAUCCGAAAAUAAAGGUUCAACUUUA